AUACCUACCUGGCGUCGGUAUACCGUGAUCAUGCAGGCGGUUUCCCCAGGGUGCGGCUGCCCCAUUGCACCGCGGAGUGGUUGACCCUUGCGAUUAUUUUUAUACUUUAUAAGUUUCACUUCUACCGUGUGUGACUUGCACUUACAUUUGUUAUUAAGGUACACACUUCAUGUGGAUUUAC
rnacentral:snRNA from 9 species